UACGUAGGCAGCAAGCGUUGUUCGGAGUUACUGGGCGUAAAGAGUGCGUAGGCGGUUUCGUAAGUUUGGUGUGAAAUCUCCCGGCUUAACUGGGAGGGUGCGCCGAAAACUGCGGGGCUGGAGUAUGGGAGAGGUAAGCGGAAUUCCUGGUGUAGCGGUGAAAUGCGUAGAUAUCAGGAGGAACACCGGCGGUGUAGACGGCUUACUGGACCAUGACUGACGCUGAGGCACGAAAGCGUGGGGAGCAAACAGG
rnacentral:rRNA from 1 species